AGAGUUUGAUCCUGGCUCAGAAUGAACGUUGGCGGCGUGGAUUAGGCAUGCAAGUCGUGCGACAAGUUUCCCUUCGGGGAAAUGGAGGAGCGGCGCAAGGGAGAGUAACGCGUGGAUACCUGCCCCGAGGUCCGGGAUAGCCCAUCGAAAGGUGGGGUAAUACCGGAUAACAUCUCCGGAUCAAAGGUGUGAUUCCGCCUCGGGAUGGGUCCGCGUCCUAUUAGCUUGUUGGUGGGGUAAUGGCCUACCAAGGCAACGAUGGGUAGUGGGCGUUAGCGCGUGGCCCGCCUCACUGGGACUGAGACACUGCCCAGACACCUACGGGUGGCUGCAGUCGAGAAUCUUCGGCAAUGGGCGCAAGCCUGACCGAGCGACGCCGCGUGCGGGAUGAAGGCCUUCGGGUUGUAAACCGCUGUCAGAGGGGAGGAAGGGUCCGUGAAGAGCGGAACUUGACCUAUCCUCAGAGGAAGUGCGGGCUAAGUUCGUGCCAGCAGCCGCGGUAAGACGAACCGCACAAACGUUAUUCGGAAUCACUGGGCUUAAAGGGUGCGUAGGCGGCCGUUCAAGUCGGGUGUGAAAGCCCUCAGCUUAACUGAGGAAUUGCGCCCGAUACUGUUCGGCUUGAGGGAGACAGAGGUGAGCGGAACUUGCGGUGGAGCGGUGAAAUGCGUUGAUAUCGCAAGGAACACCAGUAGCGAAAGCGGCUCACUGGGUCUCUUCUGACGCUGAGGCACGAAAGCUAGGGUAGCGAAGAGGAUUAGAUACCCUCGUAGUCCUAGCUGUAAACGCUGAGCACUGGAUUGGAGGGUCCUCCAUAGCCCUUCCGGUCGUAGCGAAAGUGUUAAGUGCUCCGCCUGGGGGAGU
rnacentral:rRNA from 1 species